rnacentral:rRNA from 1 species
UACGGGGGGGCAAGCGUUGUUCGGAAUUACUGGGCGUAAAGGGCUCGUAGGCGGCCAACUAAGUCAGACGUGAAAUCCCUCGGCUUAACCGGGGAACUGCGUCUGAUACUGGAUGGCUUGAGAUUGGGAGAGGGAUGCGGAAUUCCCGGUGUAGUGGUGAAAUGCGUAGAUAUCGGGAGGAACACCAGUGGCGAAGGCGACUACCUGGCCCAUUCUUGACGCUGAGGCGCGAAAGCUAGGGGAGCGAACGGG